rnacentral:rRNA from 1 species
UACAGAGGGGGCAAGCGUUAUUCGGAAUUAUUGGGCGUAAAGGGCGCGUAGGCGGCCUGACAAGUGGAAGGUGAAAUCCCUCGGCUUAACCGAGGAACUGCCCUCCAAACUGUUUGGCUUGAGUCCGGGAGAGGUGAGUGGAAUUCCCGGUGUAGUGGUGGAAUGCGUAGAUAUCGGGAGGAACACCAGUGGCGAAGGCGGCGUCCUGGACCGGUGCUGACGCUGAGGAGCGAAAGCGUGGGGAGCGAUCCGG